rnacentral:lncRNA from 1 species
CCUGCAAGCAAGCAUUGUGUGGCUCCUGGCUGCCAGAGAGCAGAGUGUGGACAGCUUGGAGUGCUUUGGGUCUAAGACUUUGGCUGACCCAGGGCUGGGGUGGAGGGGACCCACUGCAUGAGAAUCAGCUGCAGACUGCUUCCUACCUUUCAUCAGCUUGUCCUCCCUCAUCUUCUGGAACCUUGGCACCCUACAUCUGGGCAGCGACAUGGUGCCUGAGGCUAAGUGUGCAGGGUGACUCUGCUAACGUGUGCGGUUCCUCAACAAAAUGUGUCCUCCUUGACCACGAAGUUUAAUGUGGGCUUAUGUGAUAGCUAAAGCCUAAGAAUGCAAAAUCAGAAAUUGCUAGCCAGCCGGGCGUGGUGGCGCACGCCUUUAAUCCCAGCACUCGGGAGGCAGAGGCAGGCAGAUUUCUGAGUUCAAGGCCAGCCUGGUCUACAAAGUGAGUUCCAGGACAGCCAGGGCUACACAGAGAAACCCUGUCUCAAAAAAACAAAAAAACAAAAAAAA